UACGAAGGGGGCUAGCGUUGCUCGGAAUCACUGGGCGUAAAGGGCGCGUAGGCGGCCCUGUUGGUCGGGCGUGAAAUCCCCGGGCUCAACCCGGGGGCUGCGCCCGAAACGGCGGGGCUGGAGGCAAGGAGAGGCUCGCGGAAUUCCCAGUGUAGAGGUGAAAUGCGUAGAUAUCUGGAGGAACACCGGUGGCGAAGGCGGCAUCCUGGACCAACACUGACGCUGAGGAGCGAAAGCCAGGGGAGCAAACGGG
rnacentral:rRNA from 1 species